rnacentral:rRNA from 1 species
UGGGGAAUUUUGGACAAUGGGCGAAAGCCUGAUCCAGCAAUGCCGCGUGUGUGAAGAAGGCCUUCGGGUUGUAAAGCACUUUUGUCCGGAAAGAAAUCCUUGGCUCUAAUACAGUCGGGGGAUGACGGUACCGGAAGAAUAAGCACCGGCUAACUACGUGCCAGCAGCCGCGGUAAUACGUAGGGUGCAAGCGUUAAUCGGAAUUACUGGGCGUAAAGCGUGCGCAGGCGGUUUGCUAAGACCGAUGUGAAAUCCCCGGGCUCAACCUGGGAACUGCAUUGGUGACUGGCAGGCUAGAGUAUGGCAGAGGGGGGUAGAAUUCCACGUGUAGCAGUGAAAUGCGUAGAGAUGUGGAGGAAUACCGAUGGCGAAGGCAGCCCCCUGGGCCAAUACUGACGCUCAUGCACGAAAGCGUGGGGAGCAAACAGGAUUAGAUACCCUGGUAGUCCACGCCCUAAACGAUGUCAACUAGCUGUUGGGGCCUUCGGGCCUUGGUAGCGCAGCUAACGCGUGAAGUUGACCGCCUGGGGAGUACGGUCGCAAGAUUAAAACUCAAAGGAAUUGACGGGGUCAUAGCUGUUUCC